rnacentral:lncRNA from 1 species
ACCAAUCCCAUGCCAGGAAGUGGGGGGUGGGGGGGUGGGAAGGACCCUUGGGGCAUGCCGGGAAAUGCGCUCCCCAGCUAGGAUGCCGUUUGAAACUCACAAGGGUAAGUUACUUGUCUGGUGUCACUCAGUGUCUAAGGACACAUUUGAACUUGAGUUUUCCUGACUCUAGGCUCAGCAUUCUAUCCACUGUGCCACCUAGCUGCCCAAUAAAUAUUAAAGGAGAAUGAAAGAAGGGACUGCUUUGAUGGGAGGUUUCCAUACCGGGCAUAUCACAUCUCCUUGGAAGAGCAGUAAUCAGAGCUAUCACUAACACAGAACUUCCAGGAAUUUGUUUGCAGAGAAUUUACAUACUAUCAAGGCGCACAUUUCUUCUCCUAAAGGGUACAAUUACUGAGCCUCAAGACCUGUUGAAUCAAGAGGAAAACAGAGGGCACUGA